rnacentral:lncRNA from 1 species
CGAUUCCAAAGUUUUAAUAAGGUUAGCCUAGUUUAAUUGGAGUGGGCUUGAAACCUCUGUUGUCAUAAUCAAAGAAGCAUUCAUGUUACCAAAUUAACGGGGCUUAUUAGGAGAGUGGCCGAGUGCUGAAGUCCUUUGAACACCCAGCCAUAUGGGUAUAUCAAGAAGAGAUCAAACAGGAUGUCAAAGGAGACCUACUGCAAAUGGAUUUGUAUUAUUGAGGCCAUCACACACCGGGCACCCUUUGGCAACAUGGCAGCCACCCUCCUCCUGCUAGUCAUUAUCCUCCCAUGAGCCCUUAGCACGUGGCGCCAUGAAGACUCCACAGAGGGAAGGACUAAGAACAGUGAAUUGGAGAGGCAGAUUUUACCUAACCUAUUGAAACUGGAGCUGUGAUUUCAUAGGGAUAAGGUGAGGAGCCUCCUCUGUCAUUUAUGGUCUUAGAGGGUUGUGUUUACUGAGAAUUGAAGUGACUCAUUCAAAGUCACAUUGCCACUAUGGGUCAGAGAGAGCACACCAAUCCAGGUUUUCCUGGCACUAUGCAUUAAGCCACACUCCCCCUAUUUAUCUUUUUAUCAUCUUGAUAGCAUCACUUUCUGCUGGU